CUGCCCUGGACGCUCAGACGCCCGUCUCGCCGUGGAGGCGCCCGUGUCCUGGGACAGGCACAAAGGCCCUACAGUGGGGCUGGGGGGGAGCCGCGCACGGGGCACAUGUGCUCACUCCACACCGGGGCCCCACGGCACGUGCGGCCGGCCUUGCUUCUUCCCCCCGGAGCACGGGCGCCUGCCUGCCCCCCAACGGCCUGCUCCCGUGGCCCCGAGGUGUCAGCCGCUUCUCCCAAAUCCCCAUCGCCGGGUAGGACCAGGAGAAAGCGCUGAGCCCCUGGACGGGGGGGGGGGGGGGGGGGGGGGGGGGGGGGGACGCAUUCCCAGAGCCGCGCGCGCGUGACCGGCAGGUCCACACACGCACACGCGAGCCCGCCCCCCACCUGCAGUGUCUCCCGAGCGACCUCGGAGCCGGGGGCCGAGCCUCCCGGAAGUCCGGCCCGACCAGUCCUGCCGGUGGCCCCCGUGCCACCGGCUCUCCUGUUAAGCAUUAACCAGCUCUACGUCUGGCCGCGGGCAGGAGUGGGUUCAGAGAGUCACCCUGGCCUGGAAGGGCCACUCAGGGCCGGGCCCGGGGAGGGACCUGAGCUGGCCAGAGCAGAGAGGGCGCUGAGGUCACAGGCCCCGCUGGCCCUGUCAAAGCAGGAGCUGGGGGUGGCGGCGGGGGUGGGGGGCUGGUCUAACAGAAAUCCAGAGCUCUGGGGACAGGCCAGCCUCGCCAGGGGCACAGGCAUGGAUGGAGUGACGUCCGGAAGCCCAGGCGUCAGCACGGCAAGGCAGAUCCAGAUGGUCGCCUGGUGACGGCUUGCCCACGUGACAGUGCGUCCGGGCCAGCCCUGCCCAGCACGAGCCGUGCGGUUCUGGCCGGGUUGUGGCCUUGUGCCUUUUCCGGCACCACCAGAAAGCUGUGCUCCUCCAGACCCAGACGUCCCUGGGGCUCAGGACACCCUCCUCGGGGUGCAGAACCUUCUCAGACCGGGUCCGGCCGUCCCUCCCUCUCGAUGCCCGGUGUUCAGCCCAGACUCUCUCAUUCACUGGAGGCCUGGCCACGGCUCUGAGCUCGCAGUCCUUGUGUGUGCUAGGUAGAGAGGAGGCCUGGAGGCCAGGCCGGCCGCAGGAAGUUCAGGCAGCAGGUGUGCGCACACACGGGCACGCACGCGCCGGGAUUCUCCAGCCGACAACCCGUCUGGAAUUCUCCACCAUAAACACCUCCAGUGGAGCUGUUCCAAUCCCAGAACACACAGGCCCUGGCGUUUCCGGAAGGUUGGCUCCCGGGGAGCUGGGGGCUCCGACCCCCCGGAAGCCCUCAGGCCAUCGAGCAGACCUGGGAGUGUCCUUCAGGGGACAUGGGGCCCGGACACCUGUGAGCUUCCCUCACCCGAGGGGCCCCCGGCCACUCCCGUCUCCAUACUCGGUGGGGCCCGUGCAGAAAACUUGCAGCCCCUUGUUCAAAACGGUUACAAUUUCCAGAGCGCGACGGCGGGCGUUGGACCAGGCCCGGGGCCCUUCCCUCUGCGUGCGGGACCUGCCUCCACGUCCCUUCUUGGUGCUGUGGCUCCACGGGCCUGGGCCUCUGCUCCUCUCCCUUCGCCUACGGGUCUGUGAGAGGCCUCGCGGGGACAGCAUGCACACAGCCUCUGCAGGGGUGACAGAGCCGGGCCUGGGGGCCGGGCCACCUGGGGUCUGGGUGCUUCCCCGCCUCUGAGCAGAGGCUCCGUCCACAGCACACGGAAGGGCUGGGGUGGUUCUGGGAGUGAGGCCUGGGCGCCG
rnacentral:lncRNA from 1 species